rnacentral:rRNA from 1 species
GACGGAGGGUGCUAGCGUUGUUCGGAUUCAUUGGGCGUAAAGGGUGCGUAGGUGGCGCGGUAAGUCGGGUGUGAAAUUUCGGAGCUUAACUCCGAAACUGCAUUCGAUACUGCCGUGCUUGAGGACUGGAGAGGAGACUGGAAUUUACGGUGUAGCAGUGAAAUGCGUAGAUAUCGUAAGGAAGACCAGUGGCGAAGGCGGGUCUCUGGACAGUUCCUGACACUGAGGCACGAAGGCCAGGGGAGCAAACGGG